rnacentral:rRNA from 1 species
AGCCACUCCCCAGCCCAACCACUACAUCUUACUUAACAUCAAAAAACGACUAUAAACCCUAAACUAAAACAUUCUAACAACUUAGUAUAGGCGAUAGAAAAGAACCAUUUGGCGCUAUAGCAUCAUUGGCCGUACCGUAAGGGAAAGGUGAAAUAACAGUGAAAACCUUAAGCCACGCACAGCAAAGAUCAGCCCUUGUACCUUUUGCAUCAUGAUUUAGCAAGAACAACCAGGCAAAACGCAUUUAAGCCUGCCCCCCCGAAACCCAUGCGAGCUACUUACAAGCAGCUACCUUGAGCGAACCCGUCUCUGUUGCAAAAGAGUGGGAUGACUUGUUAGUAGAGGUGAAAAGCCAACCGAGCUGGGUGAUAGCUGGUUGCCCGUGAAACGAAUUUAAGUUCGUCCCCGGCCGUCUCUUGAAGGACACCCCCUCACACCCUAUCGCAGCUCAGCCGGGAGCAAUUUAAAGGAGGUACAGCUCCUUUAAAAAAGAAUACAACCUCCUCUAGCGGAUAAGCUACUAACUCACUAGUCCGUGGGCCCUAAAGCAGCCAUCAACAAAGAGUGCGUCAAAGCUCUACUAAUAAAAACACCCUAACAACACAACUCCCUUGCCCCUAACGGGCCAACCUAUGUCACAUAGGAGGAUCUAUGCUAAAAUAAGUAACUUGGGGCCAUUUUCCCCUCUAACAGGCGCGAGCUUACAUCACACAUUAUUAACAGACCAAAAUACCAAAACUCCAACAAGUACGUGUAUUUCUAGAACUGUUCCCCCCACCCAGGAGCGCCGGCCAGAAAGAUUGAAAUCUGCAAAAGGAAUUAGGCAAACUCGAGGUCCGACUGUUUACCAAAAACAUAGCCUUCAGCCCCACAAGUAUUGAAGGUGAUGCCUGCCCAGUGACAUCCUGUUCAACGGCCGCGGUAUCCUAACCGUGCGAAGGUAGCGCAAUCAAUUGUCUCAUAAAUCGAGACCUGUAUGAAUGGCUAAACGAGAUCUCGACUGUCUCUUGCAGAUGAUCAGUGAAAUUGAUCUCCCCGUGCAAAAGCGAGGAUGACCACAUAAGACGAGAAGACCCUGUGGAACUUAAAAAUCAGUAGUUACCCCUCUAACAUAAGACCUAGCAGGCUCACCACCCAGAGAGCAUUAACUGACAUUUUUUGGUUGGGGCGACCUUGGAGAACAAAAAACCUCCAAAUACAAGACCACAAAUCUUUACCAAGUGCCACCUCACAAAGUGCCAACAGCAACCAGACCCAGUACUUAUCUGACCAAUGAACCAAGCUACCCCAGGGAUAACAGCGCAAUCUCCUUCAAGAGCUCCUAUCGACAAGGAGGAUUACGACCUCGAUGUUGGAUCAGGACAUCCUAAUGGUGCAGCCGCUAUUAAGGGUUCGUUUGUUCAACGAUUAAUAGUCCUACGUGAUCUGAGUUCAGACCGGAGCAAUCCAGGUCGGUUUCUAUCUAUGAUUGACUCUUCCUAGUACGAAAGGACCGGAAAAGUAGGGCCAAUGCAACAGACAUGCCCUCUCUUUAAGUAAUGAAGACAACUAAAUUACAAAAAGAGCGCCCUCCACUUCAUCCUAGAAAAGGAUAA